rnacentral:misc_RNA from 1 species
GAUGAAGAACGUAGCGAAAUGCGAUAAGUAAUGUGAAUUGCAGAAUUCAGUGAAUCAUCGAAUCUUUGAACGCACAUUGCGCCCGCCAGUAUUCUGGCGGGCAUGCCUGUUCGAGCGUCAUUUCAACCAUCAAGCCCCCGGGCUUGUGUUGGGGACCUGCGGCUGCCCGCAGGCCCUGAAAACCAGUGGCGGGCUCGCUGUCACACCGAGCGUAGUAGCAUCAUCUCGCUCAGGGCGUGCUGCGGGUUCCGGCCGUUAAAAAGCCUCUAAUACCCAAGGUUGACCUCGGUUCAGGUAGGAAGACCCGCUGAACUUAAGCAUAUCAAUAAGCGGAGGA